GCUGGCUUAUGUAGCAUCCCAGGAAACUUUAAAGGAAGUUACACAAAACGGACCGUCCGGGCCGACAUUAGACGAAGAAUCUUUGACACCACCAGCUCCAUUGACGUUGAACGGUGAUGGAUACAAGCAGUCGAAAAAGCUGUGCAUGGUCAGUCCCGGAACUAACUACUACUGUGUGCAACAGAUGAAGGGGCUAUAAACAAAAAAUAUAAAG